UUUACCAGUUUUGCCUUUGGCCCUCCUGAACUUUCUGAAAAGCUAUUCCAGAAGGUUAUGGGACCAUCUCAAACACUGGGAGGUAUCACUGGAGACUGCAGGGGGCAGGGAGAAUCACGGUCCCUUCUAUAAACAGAAGGAGCUCUUCUAUUUCCAGAGGGGUUACCACUAAACAGUUUUGCAAACCAGCUUCAAGCCACGGGAAUGAAAGGAAGGGGAAAUUUGCACCAGCGAAGAAAGAAGCCUGCAGCCCACUCUCUUAACCAUGGUUAAGAAAUUGGCAAUGUUACAGCAAUAGACCACAAGAAACUACUCUCAAAACGUCCCCAAUAAAUCAGAAGAGAUUUUCAAAACCUAUACAGAAAUUGACAGAAUCAUUCAUUGGUAUCUCCAAUAGUGUUUCCUGCCCCCCUCCUAAAUAGUCUACGAAGGAUAUAAUUAAGGAAUGCUACCUGAUUUGUGGUUUCAUUUAUUGUUUCCAGAAGUUUUUCAACUGCUGCCUGAAGUCGAGAACUGAUAUUUAAAACCAGCUCUUUGCUUUUUGAGUCUACUUCCAUUCCAGCAAAGCCAUGCUCUGUAAGGUACUGUGUGAGUUCAAGGCAUUCAUCUGUGACUUCUGACCACAUGAUAUUGCCAUCACCUUCUAGAUCGCUGCCAUGAUACGAAGACGAUGACUUUUCUACACAAAAAUAAUAAUAAAACAAUAAUAAUGGUG